rnacentral:rRNA from 1 species
UACAGAGGGGGCAAGCGUUGUUCGGAAUUACUGGGCGUAAAGGGCGCGUAGGCGGCCUUCUAAGUCGAACGUGAAAUCCCCGGGCUCAACCCGGGAACUGCGUCCGAUACUGGAAGGCUUGAAUCCGGGAGAGGGAUGUGGAAUUCCAGGUGUAGCGGUGAAAUGCGUAGAUAUCUGGAGGAACACCGGUGGCGAAGGCGACAUCCUGGACCGGUAUUGACGCUGAGGCGCGAAAGCCAGGGGAGCGAACAGG